rnacentral:lncRNA from 1 species
UAUAAUGGUCUUGCAAUUGAUGGAAAUAAUCGUUCAUUGCUUGUUCCUUUCGCUUGUGAUUGUCAUCGACCAGGAGUUUAUCUUGGUGAGAGUGGAUAGAAUAUUGUUGCUGCUCGCGUUUCUCUUCUUCGUCCAACAAGAUUAGUGAGGUAAGUAUAUCACUCCACGCGGCACUCUUGUUUAAUACGUCGUCGCUUCGUCGCCGCUUCUUCAAAUUGUUGUUAUUAUUAUUAUUAUUGUUGCUGCUGCUGUUGUUGUUGUUGUUGUUGAUGAAGGUGCUUCUACUCUCCAUUUCAGGGAGUAAAUCUAAUAAAUGGGAGUAGUCUUCUUCUUGAUUAAGAAAUGGGAAACGAGUUAUUUCCAUUAAGCAACAAAACAGUGUGUGUGUGUUUGAAUUUGUUAGGUUGACAAGUGUUUGAAGAAAUGCUUCAACGGAAAAAUGUGAACACAAUCGAUUUCAAAUUGAACAAGAAAUGAUAAGAUGGGAGCUUUUAUAUAAGAAGAGGUGAAGCGAUG